GGGGGGUAAUCCUGUACGGUCAUUUUAGAUUCCAACGUAUGUGAAUUGUCUCCUUUUCCAGGCAGUUGUCACUCAUGAUGACACACCAGUCUGUGAUACAAGAGUUUAUUUUAAGGUAAGAGAAAGAUACUUGUGGGGCUCAAUUUUACAACACCAAUUUAUAGUUGACGUUUAUGUUAUAUUUUAAAGCACCAUACAGUUCAACUGCUCCAAAUGGGAGCUCUUUUUAAAAAGAAUAAAAUAAAGUAUGGUCCACAGUAGGGAUGAAAAUGAUACUACAAAAAUGCUUGCAAGCCAAUUCAGGUGACAAACCAGGAAAAGUUACGUAGGCUAAACCAGGUGGGACAUUUGUCAUGUAGUUCGGUACUGCAAAGGGUUAGGAAUGCAGGAAGCUGCCUUAUAAUGAGUCAGACCAUCUAGUCUAAUGUUGUCUACACUGACUGGCCGCAGUUUUGUAUGUGUGUGCAUAUGAAGAAGUAAGCAAAUGUAAGUGUCCACACCUACAAAGAAUAGAAUAGAAUCAACUGCACAGCAAGCAGUGAUUUUUUGCUUAUUCAUUUGGCAUGAUCUGCUAAGACUAUGGCACAAUUAGCCUGAGUGUUUAGGUUAGCACUUAGAUUAAAGCUAGCCUUGAAUAUUCUGUUAAAGGAGAUUUAUACUUUGUUUCUACAGGUGCCUGAAAAUGACCAGCUUGUAAAAACAUGAGUUCCUUUCCAAAAACACAAGUUACUCAUGGUGAGCACAAAGUCAGAUUUUCUGAUGAGGUGUGGCUGUUUUGUUUCAAAUAGUAUGAAAUGGAGGUUCCAAGAGGUUUAGUUCCAUUGCAGCCAGAGAAUUUUCUAAGGCCCUGAAAAAGCUUGAAAUGGGAGCUAUUUUCAUCAUCACCACCACCAUGGUACCCUCAUGUGCAUCUAUAUUUUUAUUUUUAUUUCACUCGACAAUGGUAAUUUGAUUAAGAAACAAUCAAAUUUUGUAGCUUUUAACUCAUACUUUCUAAACAGCCCUUAUAGUUUAAAGACUUUUUGAGAAAGUGUUUUUGGGAACAAAGAACUCUUUUUCCCCUCUUUUUUUUUUUUGCAAUGCCGUAUAGUGGGAUGAGGGAACUGUGGCCUUCCAGGCAUUGUCAGUUUGUUCAACUGCACAACUGCAGUCCUUUUGUUUCUAAACACACAAUGUUGAGCUGACAAAUUUAUUUGUUUUGUUCUCUUUCCCUCUUCAUUUUUUGUGCUGUGUGUUUUCCCCUAAUAAAUUUGCAAUUAAAAAAAUCCAAACAAUCUGGAAAAAUGAAAAACAAUUUCUCCAAAUCUCCUUGUUUAAUUUAUUUCCUAUUGAAUUCACUGUAAAUUACUGCACAACCAUCUUUCUGUUUUAGAAUGGGAAAUGCCUGUAGUUUCAGGACUGAACAUAAAUUAAGUGCAUGCAAGCUUUUGUUGAAUUGGGAGUUCAUUCCCAGGUGUUUGCUAUUGUGCAAUUCGCUUGCUGAUAUUUUUCAUUUUUUAAGAUGUGAGUACUCCUUAGCAGACUCCUGCACACAUGCCCUGUUUGUGCAAAAUUAACACAUUCAAAUAAACAAACUGGAAGACAAAGACAAAAGAGAGCAUUUACCAGUAUGGAUGGUAAUAAGAAAUUUAAUUUCAACUUCAGCUGCAACUGGGCAUGUGUGUAAACCUGUUGUUGGCAUCUGUCUGCCUUCAGAGUGAACAAAUGAGGUAAAAUCUGAAUGGAGAAAACAUGGCUUCAAAGCCAGACCCAUCUUAAAUGUGCACAAGCCCUAUGAGAUGCUGUUUCACCCAAACUGAAAACUUUUUAAAGUCAUUAGGUGCUUAAUUGAACUUGGUGUGGUAAAGUGUUUAAGAGACUGAGCAAUAAAUCGUGAUGUACCAGUUUUGAAUUUCACAUCUGCUAUGAACUCACUACCUGGUCUUUGGCAAGCCAAACUUGCUCAGUUUCAUUUCCCCCAUCAGAAAUAAUGGGGAUAAUGGCACUGACCUACCUUUAAAUACCUGAAAGCAUGAUGCAAUUGGUAAGUAUUAUUGAUUACUUACACAGAAUCUAGCUUUGUUCCAUUGAAGGCAUGGGCGUCAACCUUUGUGAACCCAUUGUUGUAUAGUUUUCUGUAAACAAACAAAAAAUAGAUUAUUAGCUGAUGUGACGCAACUGUAACUAGGCUUUUUUACUUUUUGCAUGCACACUGUGUCCUAACUUACUUUAGUCUUAUGGCGCUGGAAUGCUUGUUCCCAUUGCUCCCCACUCCCAAGGUAUACUUUCCCCUAACUAGCAUCUGAAUAUCUAUAUAUUUUUGAUUUUGAUGGCAUUAUAUGAAAUUCCAUUAUAUCUUGGCCUAUUUAUUUUUCUUCCCACUGAAACCAAAGGGAGGUAACAUUUAAGAAAUAAACAACUCGGGGUGAAAUUCCAAACUGCCUACUUACUGCCUUGGCAGGGGCAAGCUCAGUAGGGCUUAGUGUCCCCUCUCCCAAACACAGCCCCCCCUCCCAUCGCCUGAGGAUUCCUCUGCCCAUCAACUGACAACUAUUUUCUUAUUUAGCAUUACUCAUUAAGGGUGACCUACUGCUUCACAACUACUGAAAUGAAAAGGAGGAAGAGAAAACAACUUGUGCCUGAUCAACAUACAGGCUAAGGGAUUCGUUGCAUAGCCCAUGGAAUGCGUUUGCAGGCACCGAAAUCAUGUAUGGAUUAUCAGCCAUUUCACUGUAAAAAAAGGGGG